UAAGGAAAUGGAAUUCAAAUUUAAUUGCAAAAAAACUGCAUUUGUGUUUGGCACCACACUCUAAGUUUAUAUAAUAGUACUCCAGAAAGCUUACUGUUAUUAUUUUAGUCAAAAAUACUAAAAUAAUAAAUGGUUAAUGCAUGUGGAACUUAAAGGCUUUGAGUUGGGCAUGGCAAAAAGGAAAAUGUCAUCCGGUGGGAAGUGGUCCUUGGAAUAUUCUUUACAAUCAUUAGGACACAUGAGUUACCUCCAAACUGUAAGGAAAACAUGCAAAUUAAGAUUUUCUUUGUGUACAACAGAUUAACAGAAUGUUACAAUAACAUUUUACAAAAAGAUUUUCUUUUAGUACUUCGUACAAGGAUUUAAUGGUACUACAGUUGCAGGGCUUUGCAAAUCCCAGAAAGCUUCUGCUUUGGUGCUGGACAAAAUAAGGCAAAUGAAUGAUGCAAGCCAAUGCCAGUUCUACAGCAUCAGAGAGCUAACAUGAGAUGCACUCUAUCCAUCAUUUUAUUUCUUUGA
rnacentral:lncRNA from 1 species